UACGGAGGGAGCUAGCGUUGUUCGGAAUUACUGGGCGUAAAGCGCACGUAGGCGGCUUUGUAAGUUAGAGGUGAAAGCCUGGGGCUCAACUCCAGAAUUGCCUUUAAGACUGCAUCGCUUGAAUCAUGGAGAGGCGGGUGGAAUUCCGAGUGUAGAGGUGAAAUUCGUAGAUAUUGGGAGGAACACCGGUGGCGAAGGCGACCACCUGGACAGAGACUGACGCUGAGGCGCGAAAGCGUGGGGAGCAAACAGG
rnacentral:rRNA from 1 species